AAUGCCACCGCCACGCUACACACAGGUACCCCUGGGAUGGCGUGAGCACUCCCCCAGUGAUGGACCCAUCUGUGACGCUGUGGCAGUUUCUGCUGCAGCUGCUCAGACAGCAAGGCAAUGGCCACAUCAUCUCCUGGACUUCACGGGAUGGUGGUGAAUUCAAGCUGGUGGAUGCAGAGGAGGUGGCCCGGCUGUGGGGGCUACGCAAGAACAAGACCAACAUGAAUUACGACAAGCUCAGCCGGGCCUUGCGGUACUACUAUGACAAGAAUAUCAUCCGCAAAGUGAGCGGCCAGAAGUUCGUUUACAAGUUUGUGUCCCAUCCUGAGGUCGCAGGGUGCUCCACUGAGGACUGCGCGCCCCAGUCAGAGGUGUCUGUUACCUCCGCCAAGCCAAAUGCGGCCCUUGCUGCUGUACAUGCCGCCCCAGGGGACACUGCCUCUGGAAAGCCAGGCACACCCAAGGAUGCAGGAAGGGCAGGCCCGAGCGGUUUGGCACAUAGCCGCCGGAACGAGUACAUGGGCUCGGGCCUCUAUUCCACCUUCACCAUCCAGUCUCUGCAGCCACAGCCACCCCCUCAUCCUCGGCCGGCUGUGAUGCUCCCUAACGCAGCUCCUGCAGGAGCAGCAGCGCCCCCCUCGGGGAGCAGGAGCACCAGUCCAAGCCCCUUUUGCCUGGAGGCUGAGGAGGCCGGCUUGCCUCUGCAGACCAUCCUGACCCCGCCCGAGGCCCCAAACCUGAAAUCGGAAGGGCUGAAUGUGGAGCCAGGUUUGGGCCGGGCUUUGCCCCCGGAAGUGAAAGUGGAAGGGCCCAAGGAAGAGUUGGAAGUUGCCGGGGAGGGAGGGUUUGUGCCGGAAACUACUAAGGCCGAGCCAGAAAUCCCUCCACAGGAGGGCGUGCCAGCCCGGCUGCCGGCGGUCGUUAUGGACACCGCAAAGCAGGCGGGCGGCCCCGCGGCUUCCAGCCCUGAGAUCUCCCAGCCGCAGAAGGGCCGGAAGCCCCAGGACCUAGAGCUUCCACUCAGCCCGAGCCUGCUAGGUGGGCCAGGACCCGAACGGACCCCAGGAUCGGGAACUGGCUCCGGCCUCCAGGUGCCUGGGCCGGCGCUAACUCCGUCCCUACUUCCUAUGCAUACAUUGACCCCAGUGCUGCUGACACCCAGCUCGCUGCCUCCCAGCAUUCACCUCUGGAGCACCCUGAGUCCCAUUGCGCCCCGUAGCCCGGCCAAGCUCUCCUUCCAGUUUCCGACCAGUGGCAGCGCCCAGGUUUGAAUGAGAGAGGAAGAAGCACAUUUCCAAUCAUUAGGGGAACCUGAGAACAUUAUCUCCAACCCAUUUUGCCAAAUGGAUGUCCUGAGAAAGGUGUUCCAAGAGAGGUGAUGUCAGAGACACCCUUGGAGACACACCUAGAAAUAUUUUACCAGCCAUCUGAACAUCCCUUAGCUUAGGUAAGUUGACACAUAAAAUUAACCAUC